CUGGGUUUGACAUGGUAGGAAAAGCCACAGAGAUGUGGUGUCCUUUUGGGCCUACUGCAGGUGGUGCGUGGCUGUCGUCAGCUCGUGUCGUGAGAUGUUGGGUUAAGUCCCGCAACGAGCGCAACCCUUGUCCUAUGUUGCCAGCACGUAAUGGUGGGGACUCGUAGGAGACUGCCGGGGUCAACUCGGAGGAAGGUGGGGACGACGUCAAGUCAUCAUGCCCCUUAUGUCCAGGGCUGCAAACAUACUACAAUGGCUGGUACAAAGGGCUGCGAAACCGCGAGGUCGAGCGAAUCCCAUAAAGCCAGUCUCAGUUCGGAUCGGAGUCUGCAACUCGACUCCGUGAAGCUGGAGUUGCUAGUAAUCCCGGAUCAGCAACGCCGGGGUGAAUAC
rnacentral:rRNA from 1 species